rnacentral:misc_RNA from 1 species
UUUCCGUAGGUGAACCUGCGGAAGGAUCAUUCAUAAUAAGUGUUUUAUGGCACUUUUUUAAAUCCAUAUCCACCUUGUGUGCAAUGUCAGGGUUGAUUUUUCUCUAGAGGAUCAGCCCCAAACAUCAACUAUAUCUCAACUCUUUGUCUGAAAAAUAUUAUGAAUAAAACAAUUCAAAAUACAACUUUCAACAACGGAUCUCUUGGCUCUC